UACCUGGCGGCAUGCCUUCACAUGCAAGUCGAACGGCAGCGCGGGGCAACCUGGCGGCGAGUGGCGAACGGGUGAGUAAUAUAUCGGAACGUACCCUGGAGUGGGGGAUAACGUAGCGAAAGUUACGCUAAUACCGCAUACGAUCUAAGGAUGAAAGUGGGGGCUCGCAAGACCUCAUGCUCCUGGAGCGGCCGAUAUCUGAUUAGCUAGUUGGUGGGGUAAAGGCCCACCAAGGCAUCGAUCAGUAGCUGGUCUGAGAGGACGACCAGCCACACUGGAACUGAGACACGGUCCAGACUCCUACGGGAGGCAGCAGUGGGGAAUUUUGGACAAUGGGCGCAAGCCUGAUCCAGCAAUGCCGCGUGAGUGAAGAAGGCCUUCGGGUUGUAAAGCUCUUUUGUCAGGGAAGAAACGGGUGGGGCUAAUAUCCUCACCUAAUGACGGUACCUGAAGAAUAAGCACCGGCUAACUACGUGCCAGCAGCCGCGGUAAUACGUAGGGUGCAAGCGUUAAUCGGAAUUACUGGGCGUAAAGCGUGCGCAGGCGGUUUUGUAAGUCUGUCGUGAAAUCCCCGGGCUCAACCUGGGAAUGGCGAUGGAGACUGCAAGGCUAGAGUUUGGCAGAGGGGGGUAGAAUUCCACGUGCAGCAGUGAAAUGCGUAGAUAUGUGGAGGAACACCGAUGGCGAAGGCAGCCCCCUGGGUCAAAACUGACGCUCAUGCACGAAAGCGUGGGGAGCAAACAGGAUUAGAUACCCUGGUAGUCCACGCCCUAAACGAUGUCUACUAGUUGUCGGGUCUUAAUUGACUUGGUAACGCAGCUAACGCGGUGAAGUAGACCGCCUGGGGAGUACGGUCGCAAGAUUAAAACUCAAAGGAAUUGACGGGGGACCCGCACAAGCGGUGGAUGAUGUGGAUUAAUUCGAUGCAACGCGAAAAACCUUACCUACCCUUGACAUGGAUGGAACCUCGGAGAGAUUUGAGGGUGCCCGAAAGGGAACCAUUACACAGGUGCUGCAUGGCUGUCGUCAGCUCGUGUCGUGAGAUGUUGGGUUAAGUCCCGCAACGAGCGCAACCCUUGUCAUUAGUUGCUACGAAAGGGCACUCUAAUGAGACUGCCGGUGACAAACCGGAGGAAGGUGGGGAUGACGUCAAGUCCUCAUGGCCCUUAUGGGUAGGGCUUCACACGUCAUACAAUGGUACAUACAGAGGGCCGCCAACCCGCGAGGGGGAGCUAAUCCCAGAAAGUGUAUCGUAGUCCGGAUUGUAGUCUGCAACUCGACUGCAUGAAGUUGGAAUCGCUAGUAAUCGCGGAUCAGCAUGUCGCGGUGAAUACGUUCCCGGGUCUUGUACACACCGCCCGUCACACCAUGGGAGCGGGUUUUACCAGAAGUAGGUAGCUUAACCGCAAGGAGGGCGCUUACCACGGUAGGAUUCGUGACUGGGG
rnacentral:rRNA from 1 species